ACGGCUCAGUAACACGUAGCUAAUCUACCCUUAGGUCAGGGAUAUCCUCGGGAAACUGAGGCUAAUACCUGAUAGAAAAUGUUUUCUGCAAUGAGAUAUUUUUGAAAUUCGGGCCUAAGGAGGAGGCUGCGGCUGAUUAGCUAGUUGUUGGUGUAAUGGACUAACAGGGCGAUGAUCAGUAAGGGCUCUUAGCGGAGAAGCCCUGAGAAGGAAUCUGAGACACUAUUCCUAGCCUUACGGGGUGCAGCAGUCGAGGAACUUUUACAAUGCUCGAAAGAGUGAUAAAAUAAGUCAGAGUGUUUUCUUUUAGAAAACUUUUAUCUGUUGCAAAAAGACAGAUGAAUAAGGACUGGGCAAGACCGGUGCCAGCCGCCGCGGUAAUCCCGGCGGUCCAAGUCGCAUCCACAUUUAUUGGGUCUAAAACAUUCGUAGCUUGUUUUAUAAGUCUCUUGUGAAAUUCUAUAUCUUAAGUAUGGAGCUUGCAAGAGAUACUAUUUAACUUGGGACCGGAAGACGCAAAGAGUAUGAUAGAGGUAGCGGUAAAAUGUGUUAAUCUCAAUCAGACUAACAACAGCGAAGGCACUUUGCGAGUACGGAUCUGACAGUAAGGAAUGAAGGCUAGGGGCGCAAAAGGGAUUAGAUACCCCUGUAGUCCUAGCAGUAAACCCUGCUCACUAAACAUUAGUACCUCCUCGAGAGGUAUUAGUGCUGUAGAGAAGUCGGAGAGUGAGCUACCUGGGAAGUAUAGUCGCAAGGCCGAAACUUAAAGGAAUUGGCGGGGGAGCAC
rnacentral:rRNA from 1 species